rnacentral:rRNA from 1 species
UACGUAGGUGGCAAGCGUUAUCCGGAAUUAUUGGGCGUAAAGCGCGCGCAGGCGGUUUCUUAAGUCUGAUGUGAAAGCCCACGGCUCAACCGUGGAGGGUCAUUGGAAACUGGGGAACUUGAGUGCAGAAGAGAAAAGCGGAAUUCCACGUGUAGCGGUGAAAUGCGUAGAGAUGUGGAGGAACACCAGUGGCGAAGGCGGCUUUUUGGUCUGUGACUGACGCUGAGGCGCGAAAGCAUGGGGAGCGAACAGG